rfam:Schistosoma mattheei strain Denwood, Zambia genome assembly, scaffold: SMTD_scaffold0005006
GCACUGCUGACGAUUCCCAUACUAGGAUGAAACGGCCGUCCAGUGC